rnacentral:rRNA from 1 species
CCAGACUCCUACGGGAGGCAGCAGUGGGGGAUAUUGCACAAUGGGGGAAACCCUGAUGCAGCGACGCCGCGUGAGUGAAGAAGUAAUUCGUUACGUAAAGCCCUAUCGGCAGGGAAGAAGCAAGACGGUACCUGACUAAGAAGCCCCGGCUAACUACGUGCCAGCAGCCGCGGUAAUACGUAGGGGGCAAGCGUUAUCCGGAUUUACUGGGUGUAAAGGGAGCGUAGACGGCGGUGCAAGCCAGAUGUGAAAGCCCGGGGCUCAACCCCGGGACUGCAUUUGGAACUGUGCUGCUAGAGUGUCGGAGAGGCAGGCGGAAUUCCUAGUGUAGCGGUGAAAUGCGUAGAUAUUAGGAGGAACACCAGUGGCGAAGGCGGCUUACUGGACUGUAAAUGACGCUGAGGCUCGAAAGCGUGGGGAGCAAACAGGAUUAGAUACCCCAGUA